rnacentral:rRNA from 1 species
CCUACGGGAGGCAGCAGUGAGGAAUAUUGGUCAAUGGCCGGAAGGCUGAACCAGCCAUGCCGCGUGAAGGUCAGUGCCCUAUGGGCGUUAAACUUCUUUUGUGCGGGAGCAAUAAUGGUCACGUGUGGCCAGACGAGAGUACCGUACGACUAAGCAUCGGCUAACUCCGUGCCAGCAGCCGCGGUAAUACGGGGGAUGCAAGCGUUAUCCGGAUUUAUUGGGUUUAAAGGGUGCGUAGGCUGUGAGGUAAGUCAGCGGGGAAAUGCCCCCGCGCAACGGGGUGAAGUGCCAUUGAUACUGCCUUGCUGGAAUGCGGAUGCCGUGGGAGGAAGGUGUGGUGUAGCGGUGAAAUGCAUAGAUAUCACACAGAACACCGAUUGCGAAGGCAUCUCACGAAUCCGCGAUUGACGCUGAUGCACGAAAGCGUGGGUAUCAAACAGGAUUAGAUACCCCUGUAGUC